GAUCAAUCUAGAUAUUGAAAAUAAAUGAACUAUGCUUUGGCAUUAUAAUAUCGACCUUCAUUAAGGAACAGUUAUUUGAAACUCACUAUUAUAUAUAUCAUGAAAAUGUUAAGUGCGUUAUAUCGUUUCUCCUUCAUAACCACAGUAGAAAUGUCUUACAAGUUUUAAUACCAGGAAAAAUAAUGUAUCUGUCUCCUCUGUAAUCCAUAGGCAUUCAUUUUAUGGAGCUGUACAUCCUGACAACUAGGAAGAUAAGAAACUAUUUUAUUGGGAGGCCUCGGUGGCUCAGCAGGGCCUCAGAUAAAGCUAGAAGUGACUGAGAAGGCACGAAAGCAGAGCAUAGCUUUGGAUGGACUCAUGAAUGAGAGGAAGAGGAGGAAAAGAAGUUGGAAAUAACGUUAUUAUUCAGUUCCACGAACUGGGCUUCUUGGAAUCCAAUGCUGGAAAAGACCUUAAAAAUAAUCAAGUCCCACUUCAUAGUGAGAACACAGAGGUUCAGGAUUACACAGUGAGUGGCAGAGCCACUUAGAAAUAUCUAGCUAGAAUCCAUCACAUUGUGUAAAGACAAUAAAUUAAAGAACUUUAAACACAACUCUAUCUUUGGAAUUGAGGUAGGUGAUUAAAGACAAGAAUUUCCUAACUUAUUCUAUUUUAAAAUUUUAAUUACUUUAUUUCACUUUCAGGCUCUAAAUAUUUACUGAUUAAUUAGGAUAGAAUAGGCUACUGGCUGAAUCCAGAAUAUUUACAAUAGGGAAGAUAUUUUAGGACAGCUAUUUAGGCAUCAUUUAGGCACACUGAAAGCAAACACCAAGCGUAAAAAUACUCUCUGCAGGAUAGGAAUCCCUGGCACCCAUCCUGUCCUGGAGCCAUACUUCCCCUCUGAGACUCUAGCAGGUG
rnacentral:lncRNA from 1 species